ensembl:lncRNA
GGCCCGUGUGAGGAGUGAAGGACACAGGAUUGAGUAGAGGGGGAAGUUGGUCUGUGACGCCAUCACAACAAAGGCUUUAGCCCACCCCUUGGAGCUGGGAUGACUUUUUAGAGGCGUCUUGAGUUGGUAUGAGUGGCUGGGCCUUCAGCUCCCAGCAUCUGUUAGUCAUGGGUGCAAACCACUCCUGGAAGGGGACGUGAUUUGGGGCUGUCCUUUCUUUAACUGAGACGUGCUUCAGAGCGUGUUGACAGCUGAGGGUUUCUGCCAGCAGCACCACCAGCAGCCGGAAGGGAGUGGACUGAGCUUCCGUUCCUGAAGGGGGAUCUGGGCACCAUCAGUGUCCACCACGGUACCUACCCUUCUGAGUCACUUGGAGACUAAAAAUAUUUAUUAAUUCGCUAAAUAUUAUUACGUGCUGCUGUGUGCGUCCAACACUGCUAGGUACAAUGGUGUAGACCUGAGCAAGACAGAUGUGAUCCCUGCGCUCGUGGGGCUUACAGUCUAUGAGGAACUAAACAGGCAUUAAUCAAGCUAUUACGAAAAUAAGUACGGAAAUUGUGACACAGUGAUGCCUGGAUCUGCAGCAGCCAUCUUGCAACCAUGAGGCAACACAAUUGAAGAUGAAAAACCAACAGCUAAAGAUGGGAAAAUAGAAGGACAGAAAACCUCAGUUGUGGAUGUCAACAUUGAGCUGCUGAACCAAUGACUGCAACCACCUGCCUCUGGACUCUUGUUACAGGAGAAAAAGUAAAGCCUUAUGGAUUUCUUCCCCUGGGGCCAUGCGAUGAAACCAGCUGUGUCGUCCUACAGAGAACAGUGUACAUGCCCCCCCUUCUGAGAGGUGAAGAGAAGUCCUUUGCUCCCUACGUCUGUCCUCAGACAUUACACGAGGGACAGUUGGGUACAGUGACGGCCUCUCAAGCUGGACCACCUGGGUCCAAUGCGUCCACCACCCUUGACGAGCCUGUGAUCUUGGGCAAGUUACUUGACUUCUCUGAGCCUCACUUUCAUUGCCUGUGAAGUGGAGACAGAAUAAGGCACACCACACAGGAUCAUUGGGAAGCCCAAAGGACGUGACGUGAACAUGCGGACAGGAGCUUGCUUGUUAAAAUCAAGAUACAAUAAAGCCAACACUAUCCCUUGGGCCAAAAGAAGGAGGAAAAAUUGAAUCAUAACCUCAGUGGAGAUAUUAGCAUAUUUUUUUAAAAACUGCAUUAAAAGAAGAAGAUGGUUAUAAUCAAAUGGAAACAGAAAAAACGUGGAAUUCAGGGAGGGAAAAUUGUUCAGUGUCCCCAGCAGAGUCCCAGAGAGAGAGGAUGUCCUUUCCUGAGGAUGUACAUAUCCAGUCCCUGUGCCAGAGAAUGUGCCAGGAAUUAAUGAAGAGGGUGGCAACGCAGCCCGCCUGGGCUCAGAUCCCAGCCCCUCAUUUCACAGCUUGGUAACCGUGGGCUGUACCUCUGUGUACCUCACUUUCCUCAUCUGUGAAGUGGGGAUCGCAGUCACACUCGCCUCAACAGGGUGGAUGUGAGGAUCCGGGGACUGCAUGGAAGAGUGUGGUCAGUGCCCGGCACAGAGAGAGUGCUUGAGAAAUCAUGGCCAGCGUUUCUCUUUUCUCAGCAUCACCUGGUCACAGGCUCGUCUUCUCUCCUCCCAGCACACUCCAUAUGCAAGCCCACUCCACUUUGACAUUCCUGAUGUCAACUUCCUAUCUGGUGGGGCUGACGCUGUGACUCUGGCUGGUGGUGUUAGGUGAGACCACACCUGACACAACCCCUCAGAUCUCGAGGAACAAGCAAGCCUAGGAGGGUCACUGAAUGCUGGGGACACACUCACUAUCACAAAACGUUCAAGAGCUUCAGACAGGGGCUGAGCCACGGCCUCUGAUUGCGAAAGGACUGAGAACCCCUUGAGAUGGCCUGGAACCCUGCCUGCGUUCGGGACUCAGGAGCACGCAGCCAUCAGGAGGGCUGCAAGAGGGAGCAACAUGCCUGAGAGAAAGUCACCAGAAGCGAGGAGCCUGGCAGGGGCCUGUGACGGGCAGCAGGGCCGGCCAUUAGAGAGGACCUGAUUCCCUCAGUGGAAGUCUUACAGGAGCAAUGCCUGACCUCCCCCACAAGGAGGAAUUCUGCCAGCGGACAGCCCUCCCCUGUGAACUCUCAGAUCUGGAGGCUCUUCUCUGGGCCUCCAGCCUCCUGUAUUUUAGACUUGCCAGGCUCCAAGAUCACGUGAGCCGAUUCCUUAAAAUAAAUCCCCCCUCUACACACACAGACACACACUCACACACACCCUAUUGGUUCUGCUUCCCUGGACAAUCCUGACUUACACAAUCACGCUUAGUGUUUCAAAGUUCAGUUGGUGAUUUAAUUGACCGUGCCUCCAGCUCUCUGUGACCCAGCAUAGCAGAGUGCAAGGGUGAGCCCAGAACAUCUUGGCUGUCUCUUGCACCAUGCCUCCCAGCCCCCCCUGUGGUACUGCGGUCAUGCAUUUUGGGUGGAGGGACCCCGCCCCUCACUGGAGGCCCACCUCCAGGAUGCAGGGCAAUUUGCUUUACUCGAAGACCACCAGUUUAAAUGUAAAUCUCAUCCAAAAUCACGCUCACAGAAGCAUCCAGAAUAAUGUUCGACCAACUGUCUGAACCCUGGGAUCCCACCCAGCGGACACGUAAAAUUAACCAUCACAACUAUUCCAUUUGUUCUGCAAAAGUGAAAAAGACGCCCUUUUUUGUCAAGAUAGACCCUAAGUACAAAAGAGUCUGUGCACUUUCUUGGGACAACAUAAUCCACUGGCAUAUGGAUCUUCCCACCUGCUGGGGUGCUGGUUUAUGAUACGGCCAAAACUGGGUCUUCCUCUUGCAGUUCAGGGGUCCUUGCGUCUGAGCGAGCUGAGGAAGGAGGGAGGGACUGGCGCACAACCAAAUUCCCAGGCUUGAACUGGCCCCAACCACCUCUGGGAAGCAAAACAUCCAGAAAAAGGCAAAUUAGCAGGACCUGUUUCAGGAAGAAGACAAGUGCUGUCCAUUGCAGUUUUCACACACAUUCUGGGCGUGGUACCUCAGGAAAAUUGGAAAUCAGAGCAGAGGAGAAAUUAGGGAGGUGAAUGGCAUCCUGAUCUUGCCUUGCAGGACCUGGGCCCCGUUCCUGAUGGUAAGGAUGAAGACAGAAACCCCAAUCCUUGGGCUGCUAUUGGCUCAGCCUCAUGGGAAACAGAUUCUGAGUUUCUCUCUUGUCAUUGCCUUAAAAUUUUCAGCAACUUAGUAGCUUCACUAUAAAAUGGUUAUUGUAAAAUACUUGUAUUAAAUUUAUUUUUAUGUUUCUUUUAGGAAAAUGAA